CAUUGACAUGCUUCAUACUUAAAACAUUAACCAAAACUUGUUCAGGCAUUCCAUAAGAGAUUUUUAGAUAUUCUACUAUCUCUCUGAUAUCAACAUGACGAGUUUCAGGCACUGUUUCUUUAACUUUUUCGACGUUAUCGCCAUUAACAGAGGUGUAUGGACGACUUGCAUGAUACAAGUUUUCGAUAACUUCACGGCCUUCAUUGAUUGAUUUGUGCCACUCAAAUACUUGUGUUCGUGAUAAAGUAGACUCCCUAAAACACUUCAUUUUCAACCAUUUCGCAGCCGUUAUGGCUAUGGGAACACAAAAUUUCAAACAAACUCCUUUUUCAAUGGUAAUUUCAUGGUAAAAAUCAUCGGCCAACCUUUUGCGUCUUAAACAAACAGCGGCCUAACAUACACUUCACAGCUCAUAAAAAAAUUGUUCGCGCGCUAUUUAAAUGGACUAGUCAGAGUCAAAAUCGAUCAAAUGGUAAUUCCACUUCUACUGACAUGAUACGGGAGAUUAAAACAUCUAGAGACCAUCCAGAGGUUCCCAUAAAUGAUGAUUCCCGAAGUUUCCGUAUAUUUGAGAAAUUUAUACCAAUUAUAAAGAAAAAACAUAAGACGGCUGAGGGCCAAUUUUCAUCAAAAAACAAUUUGUACAUCUAUGAACUUUCAAAUAUGUCGUAUGUUUAAUAAAUGGCGAACCGAACAAACAACUAGCAUAAAUAUGAUAUACGGUCAUGAUCAAAAAGAUAUAGAACAGCAACGGUUAUUGAAUGAUAUACCCACAUAUCUUGCCUUCGAUUCAAUUCAACAGGAUAAAUGAGAGCACAGCUCAAAGUGCUGCGAAAAAUGGCGAAUCGAAGACGCGUUAUUUACACUAACAUACGUAGGAGUAAUUGGAAUUAAUUACAAGAAAAUUUUCCGCCUCAUUGAACAACAAAAGCUCUAAUUCAAAUUGUUUCAUAGCUUUAUCUCUGUAAGAUCACGAGUACGAGUACAUUAAAACUCUUAAAUUGUGCGUAUUAAUCAUAGCAAAAUAAAUUCCACAGUUAAUGAAAUGGGGGAGAUAAAAAAACAA